AUGUCGCAGGACACAUUUUCUAUCACCGCACUUCUACAUUCCGAUAUUAUAUUCAGUAAAAGCAAAAUUCAAAUACCACAGAGCUACCAAUCUGAGAAAAGCACAACUAUAGAAAACAAAUUGCCCUUUUGCUUGCAGGUACACUCAGGAGAUGGGCCUAUGAACAUGGAAGCAGAUGAUAAUUUCCUUUCAAGCAUUUUACGUUCUGAAAUGACAAAAACACAAGGGCCACCCAAAGAAAAUACACAAAACAAAAUCAAAAUAGUACAAGAAAAGGAAAACACACUUGAUUCAAAUAGAACUUCAAAAGAGAUUUGUCAAACCCUCCUUCAUCACCAGAUAGUUCCUGCAAAAAUAUAUUAA
rnacentral:rRNA from 1 species